rnacentral:rRNA from 1 species
UUGCGGACAGUGUCUGGUGGGUAGUUUGACUGGGGCGGUCUCCUCCUAAAGAGUAACGGAGGAGCACGAAGGUUGGCUAAUCCUGGUCGGACAUCAGGAGGUUAGUGCAAUGGCAUAAGCCAGCUUGACUGCGAGCGUGACGGCGCGAGCAGGUGCGAAAGCAGGUCAUAGUGAUCCGGUGGUUCUGAAUGGAAGGGCCAUCGCUCAACGGAUAAAAGGUACUCCGGGGAUAACAGGCUGAUACCGCCCAAGAGUUCAUAUCGACGGCGGUGUUUGGCACCUCGAUGUCGGCUCAUCACAUCCUGGGGCUGAAGUAGGUCCCAAGGGUAUGGCUGUUCGCCAUUUAAAGUGGUACGCGAGCUGGGUUUAGAACGUCGUGAGACAGUUCGGUCCCUAUCUGCCGUGGGCGCUGGAGAACUGAGGGGGGCUGCUCCUAGUACGAGAGGACCGGAGUGGACGCAUCACUGGUGUUCGGGUUGUCAUGCCAAUGGCACUGCCCGGUAGCUAAAUGCGGAAGAGAUAAGUGCUGAAAGCAUCUAAGCACGAAACUUGCCCCGAGAUGAGUUCUCCCUGACCCUUUAAGGGUCCUGAAGGAACGUUGAAGACGACGACGUUGAUAGGCCGGGUGUGUAAGCGCAGCGAUGCGUUGAGCUAACCGGUACUAAUGAACCGUGAGGCUUAACCUUACAACGCCGAAG